rnacentral:rRNA from 1 species
UGGGUGAGGAGAGUAUCCUAAGGCCAGCGAGAGAACUGUUGUUAAGGAACUCGGCAAAAUGACCCCGUAACUUAGGGAUAAGGGGUGCCACCAUCAGGUGGCCGCAGAGAAUAGGCCCAAGCGACUGUUUACCAAAAACAUAGGUUUCUGCUAAGUCGCAAGACGAUGUAUAGGAGCUGACGCCUGCCCGGUGCUGGAAGGUUAAGGGGAUCUGUUAGAGCAAUCGAAGCAGUGAACUUAAGCCCCAGUAAACGGCGGCCGUAACUAUAACGGUCCUAAGGUAGCGAAAUUCCUUGUCGGGUAAGUUCCGACCCGCACGAAAGGCGUAACGAUUUGGGCACUGUCUCAACAACAGACUCGGUGAAAUUGUAAUUCCGGUGAAGAUGCCGGAUACCUGCGACAGGACGG